UUCCUACGGGGGGCAGCAGUGGGGAAUCUUGCGCAAUGGGCGAAAGCCUGACGCAGCAACGCCGCGUGGGGGAUGAAGGCUCUCGGGUUGUAAACCCCUUUCAGCAGGGACGAAUCAAGACGGUACCUGCAGAAGAAGCCCCGGCUAACUACGUGCCAGCAGCCGCGGUAACACGUAGGGGGCAAGCGUUGUCCGGAUUUAUUGGGCGUAAAGAGCUCGUAGGCGGCUGAGUAAGUCGGAUGUUAAAUCCCCAGGCUCAACCUGGGACACCACCCGAUACUGCUCUGGCUAGAGUCCGGUAGGGGAGCAUGGAAUUCCUGGUGUAGCGGUGAAAUGCGCAGAUAUCAGGAGGAACACCAGCGGCGAAGGCGGUGCUCUGGGCCGGAACUGACGCUGAGGAGCGAAAGCGUGGGUAGCAAACAGGAUUAGAUACCCUAGUAGUC
rnacentral:rRNA from 1 species